UACGUAGGGGGCAAGCGGUUGUCCGGAUUUAUUGGGCGUAAAGCGCUGCGCAGGCGGCUUGCUACGUCGUGCGUGAAACACCCCGGCUCAACUGGGGAGGGUCGUGCGAUACGGGCAGGCUGGAGGCCAGUAGGGGGAUGCGGAAUUCCGGGUGUAGUGGUGGAAUGCGUAGAGAUCCGGAGGAACACCAGUGGCGAAGGCGGCUCACUGGACUGGUAUUGACGCUGAGGUGCGAAAGCGUGGGGAGCAAACAGGG
rnacentral:rRNA from 1 species